AUGCAAAUUAAAACCACAAUGAUUGCUAAAGUAAUUGUGGUGAUAGAAAUGUAUUAGCCUCAGAAGCUACUGAGGUGGUUCAUUCUAUCCUAGUACAGUG
rnacentral:snoRNA from 1 species